CCUACGGGUGGCAGCAGUGAGGAAUAUUGGUCAAUGGGCGCGAGCCUGAACCAGCCAAGUAGCGUGAAGGAUGACUGCCCUACGGGUUGUAAACUUCUUUUAUAAGGGAAUAAAGUGAGGCACGUGUGCCUUUUUGUGUGUACCUUAUGAAUAAGGAUCGGCUAACUCCGUGCCAGCAGCCGCGGUAAUACGGAGGAUUCGAGCGUUAUCCGGAUUUAUUGGGUUUAAAGGGUGCGCAGAUGGGUUGUUAAGUCAGUUGUGAAAGUUGGGGGCUCAACCGUAAAAGGGCAGUUGAUACUGGCAGCCUUGAGUACAGGUGAGGUAGGCGGAAUGCGUGGUGUAGCGGUGAAAUGCAUAGAUAUCACGAAGAACUCCGAUUGCGAAGGCAGCCUACU
rnacentral:rRNA from 1 species